rnacentral:miRNA from 1 species
CAUCUUACCAGACAGCAUUAGA